CCCCUAGACGUUCUGGGCUGCACGCGCGCUACAAUAAUACGCACAGCGAGUAUCACCGAGCUCGAAAGGGCAAGGUAAACAAUAGAAAAGGUACUGUAAUGGUUAUAGAUCCUUGUAAUUAUUGAUCUUCAACGAGGAACUCCUAGUAAGUAUGUGUCAUCAUCACGCACUGAUUACGUCCCUGCCCUUUGUACACACCGCCCGUCGCUCCUACCGAUUGGGUGAGCCGAUGAAACUCUCGGAUGUAGGCUAUUCAUAGCCCGCAGAAGAGAUUUGAAUCGUAGCGCUUAGAGGAAGGAGAAGUCGUAACA
rnacentral:rRNA from 1 species